CGACGUCACAUCAGGCAAGACAACACGCUGAGUUUAAGCAUACCACUAAGCGAAGGAAAAAAAAUCAAAGAAAUCAGCGGCGAGCGAAACGGGACCUAGCCCAGCACCGAAUGCCUAGUCCUUGCCUGCGAUCGGGAAAUGUGGUGUAUGGGAGGUAACGUUCCCGAGAGUCUCGCGGUGCUGCAUGUCCACCUGACAGGGGCUUGACCCAGAGUGGGCGCAAGGCUUGUCUCCGCCGCUGCUCUCUCUGGAUGGAACCUCCCGUGAAUCGGGUCGCUUGAGAGUGCAGCCCUAAUUGAGUGGUAAAUUCCAUCUUAGGCCGUGAGGUAAAGUUGUAAACUGCAUCAAGUACCCUCAGGGAAAGUUGAAAGGAACUUUGAAAAGAGAGUUCAAGAGUGCGUGAAACCGCAUAGAGUAAAACGGGUGGGCCCGCGAAGCUCGAGGGCGGUGGGAUUCAGUUUCGUUGUGACGUGGAGGUGUUAGCGUCUUGGUUUACGGGCUCUCCUUCUGGGGGCCCGUUCCCGCUGCCCGCGCGGAGCCGCACACUCCGGAACGCAUUUUCCACCGUCGGUAGGACGCCGCGACGGGCACGGGUACUGUAAUGGGUGAUCCACCACAAAGACAAGGAAGAAAAGAGAUGAGCAAGGAACGGCGCGGUUUUUGAAAAAGGGCUCGAGAGGAGCGCGAGCACAGCUCGGACUCGGAAGGCGAAGCUGCGAACAGCUGUUCGGACCUCCGUCCACGUGACCAGGCGUCAGAGGCCCGACUCUGUCCCCGCCUCCUCUCGUGGUCAAGGCGCCGGCCUGCCUGAGGCCGACUGGACUACCUUAGGCGCUGAAGACAACUCUAGCGACCGGGUUCAUAGACAUUUCCAGUAACGAGACACUCCGGGCUAACAACAACUGCCGCCGAGCCCAUCAACGACGCGCCCUACACCAUCCUCCUUCGGCGCUACCCCUCCAUGUGACCAGGCAAAAACACAGUGAGAGAGACAACACCUACGAUGGCAUUCUGUAAAUAGCCGCGGUGAAAAUAUUUGGUUUUUCUUUUCUUCUAAUAUCUAUGUCGCAAUACUGAAAUAUUCCGUAACGCAUCCUGCGUCUUCCGUACUUCUAUUAAUACCCUAAACACACGAACCACGUACCAUCCCAAUUGGCGUCCGCGACAGGACGGAAGACACAUUGGAUCGCUCGGAAAUAAUCAUUAAGCUAUGGAUCUCAAAGAAA
rnacentral:ncRNA from 1 species